UGAUAGCCCCGGUUGCAGCGUUACCCUGCAGCAAGGAAGUAUAACGAGCGAAGCGUAAAAGCGAAAAACGGGAGCAAAC
rnacentral:sRNA from 1 species